rnacentral:rRNA from 1 species
UGUGGCUGGGGGUGAAAGGCCAAUCAAACCGGGAGAUAGCUGGUUCUCCCCGAAAGCUAUUUAGGUAGCGCCUCGUGAAUUCAUCUCCGGGGGUAGAGCACUGUUUCGGCAAGGGGGUCAUCCCGACUUACCAACCCGAUGCAAACUGCGAAUACCGGAGAAUGUUAUCACGGGAGACACACGGCGGGUGCUAACGUCCGUCGUGAAGAGGGAAACAACCCAGACCGCCAGCUAAGGUCCCAAAGUCAUGGUUAAGUGGGAAACGAUGUGGGAAGGCCCAGACAGCCAGGAUGUUGGCUUAGAAGCAGCCAUCAUUUAAAGAAAGCGUAAUAGCUCACUGGUCGAGUCGGCCUGCGCGGAAGAUGUAACGGGGCUAAACCAUGCACCGAAGCUGCGGCAGCGACGCUUAUGCGUUGUUGGGUAGGGGAGCGUUCUGUAAGCCUGUGAAGGUGGCCUGUGAGGGUUGCUGGAGGUAUCAGAAGUGCGAAUGCUGACAUAAGUAACGAUAAAGCGGGUGAAAAGCCCGCUCGCCGGAAGACCAAGGGUUCCUGUCCAACGUUAAUCGGGGCAGGGUGAGUCGACCCCUAAGGCGAGGCCGAAAGGCGUAGUCGAUGGGAAACAGGUUAAUAUUCCUGUACUUGGUGUUACUGCGAAGGGGGGACGGAGAAGGCUAUGUUGGCCGGGCGACGGUUGUCCCGGUUUAAGCGUGUAGGCUGGUUUUCCAGGCAAAUCCGGAAAAUCAAGGCUGAGGCGUGAUGACGAGGCACUACGGUGCUGAAGCGACAAAUGCCCUGCUUCCAGGAAAAGCCUCUAAGCAUCAGGUAACAUCAAAUCGUACCCCAAACCGACACAGGUGGUCAGGUAGAGAAUACCAAGGCGCUUGAGAGAACUCGGGUGAAGGAACUAGGCAAAAUGGUGCCGUAACUUCGGGAGAAGGCACGCUGAUAUGUAGGUGAAGCGACUUGCUCGUGGAGCUGAAAUCAGUCGAAGAUACCAGCUGGCUGCAACUGUUUAUUAAAAACACAGCACUGUGCAAACACGAAAGUGGACGUAUACGGUGUGACGCCUGCCCGGUGCCGGAAGGUUAAUUGAUGGGGUUAGCGGUAACGCGAAGCUCUUGAUCGAAGCCCCGGUAAACGGCGGCCGUAACUAUAACGGUCCUAAGGUAGCGAAAUUCCUUGUCGGGUAAGUUCCGACCUGCACGAAUGGCGUAAUGAUGGCCAGGCUGUCUCCACCCGAGACUCAGUGAAAUUGAACUCGCUGUGAAGAUGCAGUGUACCCGCGGCAAGACGGAAAGACCCCGUGAACCUUUACUAUAGCUUGACACUGAACAUUGAGCCUUGAUGUGUAGGAUAGGUGGGAGGCUUUGAAGUGUGGACGCCAGUCUGCAUGGAGCCGACCUUGAAAUACCACCCUUUAAUGUUUGAUGUUCUAACGUGGGCCCCUUACCGGGGUUGCGGACAGUGUCUGGUGGGUAGUUUGACUGGGGCGGUCUCCUCCUAAAGAGUAACGGAGGAGCACGAAGGUUGGCUAAUCCUGGUCGGACAUCAGGAGGUUAGUGCAAUGGCAUAAGCCAGCUUGACUGCGAGCGUGACGGCGCGAGCAGGUGCGAAAGCAGGUCAUAGUGAUCCGGUGGUUCUGAAUGGAAGGGCCAUCGCUCAACGGAUAAAAGGUACUCCGGGGAUAACAGGCUGAUACCGCCCAAGAGUUCAUAUCGACGGCGGUGUUUGGCACCUCGAUGUCGGCUCAUCACAUCCUGGGGCUGAAGUAGGUCCCAAGGGUAUGGCUGUUCGCCAUUUAAAGUGGUACGCGAGCUGGGUUUAGAACGUCGUGAGACAGUUCGGUCCCUAUCUGCCGUGGGCGCUGGAGAACUGAGGGGGGCUGCUCCUAGUACGAGAGGACCGGAGUGGACGCAUCACUGGUGUUCGGGUUGUCAUGCCAAUGGCACUGCCCGGUAGCUAAAUGCGGAAGAGAUAAGUGCUGAAAGCAUCUAAGCACGAAACUUGCCCCGAGAUGAGUUCUCCCUGAGACUUAGAGUCUCCUGAAGGAACGUUGAAGACGACGACGUUGAUAGGCCGGGUGUGUAAGCGCAGCGAUGCGUUGAGCUAACCGGUACUAAUGAACCGUGAGGCUUAACC